CGGGCAAAUUGGGUAAAUUUGGAGAAACGGAAAUCUGUAAAGGACCGAAGGGUUUGUAAUCGGUUGUUCUUAAACUGGUUCAUUAACAAGUUCCCUCAUUGACUUUACGCACACUACUAGUUGAGGCAAAGGCAAAAGCAACGCACGGAAGUUCGGUCACAAGGCGAAAAUAGAAAAAAAAAAUUAUAUCUGCAAAUUUAUGCCUUAUUUUAUAAAGUAAAGGAUUCACUUACGUUGCAUUAAUUUAACCUAUCCACACACCCCAUCUGUUCCACCUUACUCCAACUGAUUUUUACCAAGUGACUGGAGGACUAAGUAACCUUCCUAGCAUUGUGCGCCCUUUUGCCCCUCCGUAAACGCACGUCAACGCACCACUAAUUGGUUUACUGUGAAUUGCGACGCUUUACGGAAACCAGUCAUAUCGCUGCAACGUUGUACUCCCUUGAGUCCCACCCGCUCGCACCUUAGCUACACAGCGCAAUUGGCUUUAGCAGCAUGUCGUUUGUCGCUAGAGUCAUCUGAUUGAGCAAAACAGACCAAUCACAAAUGCUAGCGACAGUCUAGCGUCACCUCUGGAGCUGCUUAUCGAAUAGUACGACGUAAAGGUUCCGCACUGUACUCUCUUGGUACCUUAUGUAAAGUAGCAGUCAAGGUACAAGUGGUUCAAAGCGAAAGUUUGAUUGGAGGUGAUGCAGUACGAUGCAUAAUAAGCUUUUUUAAUGAGAUAACUGUUACGUUGAUGGUCCAAUGGUGAAAUGGAUGACCCACAUCGUAAACAAACAAUGUGGAGUAUGUGACUGUUCGAGGGUUUUGGUGCAUUUGCUUAUAUAAAGGGAAGGGAUUGACGCAUACCGCAAACCAAACCCCCCUCUUACCCUUUACCAACCACGA